rnacentral:lncRNA from 1 species
AAGCUGUCUUAUCAAAGCUGGGAGAUAUAGGUUUUUGUGUGGACAGAAGUUUUCAACUCAGUUGGAUAAAUACCUCACAGAACAAUUACUGGAUUGUAUGGGAUUGUGCUUUUGAUGUUGUUUCUAAAAAAUUGUCACCAAGUCUAAGCUCAUCUAGAUUUUCUUCUAUGUGAUCUUCCAGAAGUUUUCUGGUUUUGCAGUUUACAUUUAGAUCUAUGAGCAAUUUUUAUUCAAUUUUUGUGAAAGGCAUAAAGUCUGUGUCUGGACUGAUUUUUUGCUUAUGGACAUCCUAAUGUUCCACCACAAUUUGUUGAAAAGACUAUCUUUCCCCACUGAAUUGCCUUUGCACCCUUGUCAAAGAGGAGUUGACUGCAUUUGUAUGGGUCUGUAUCUGUGCU